UUUGGUGAUGACGGCGAAGGGGAACCACACGUUCCCAUAUCGAACACGACCGUUAAGCCCUUCAGCGCCGAUGGUACUUGGACCGCAGGGUCCUGGGAGAGUAGGACGUCGCCAAGC
rnacentral:rRNA from 1 species